ACAUCACUGUGGUAAGAGAGUAGGAAGAUCUCAGCAAUGAUGGCAACAGGACAAACAAAAAGAUGCCUAAAGAAACAAAAGGCACUGCACAACGGGGGAGAGCUCAAUAAUAACAUCACACAGCAGGAACACAGACGCUGACAACUUAGUAUUAUUAUACUUCACCGACAUACUUCAUGAUUUGAACAGUCAACACCCACUGAUUUUCAAUGGGUGUUGACUAAAACCAUGUCAGGUAGUCCUCUGUAAAAGGCCCCUAACACAACUCGGGAUUGAUUGCCACGUGACUACAACUAGUGCUUCCUGGUUUCCUCUGUACCUGCCCCUGCAACGGUCAGGCUGAGAGGGGGCGGGGCCAGGCGGAGAGGGGGCGGGGCCAGACUGCUGGAGACCAACUGCUCAGUCUGCCAUUGUUUUCCAUGUACAGCAGUAAUAUUCAAUGGCCGGAGGUCCCGCUGUAGAUUAUUUAGAAGACAGCGAGUUCUACAGCACAGUCCGAUAUUUGUGCUUGGUUGUAUGAUCCAGCGUGCAGCCGACAAGCAUUACCCCAUAUGGAGAGGAAAACAAGGCAAGGACCCGGCAGCCAUGAUCCAUGAAACACAGCUAAAUGUCCCAGUGCUUCAGUGAAUCUACCCAGCCGGUUUGUCUUGGUUGAUGUUGCAGAUUCUACUGGGAACAUAAUUGUGCGUAUUAGUUGUGAUCAGUUUUGAGCUAUAUGUGGUCAGAGGAGUGGUUGAAACUAUUUUCAGGAUGCCAAGAAGAAAGCAGAAGAAACAGGUGUGACAGAACGGUCAAAUGAGCACUGAAUGCAAGCGUAGCCUGCAGGGCAGCUAUCAGAGGCAGCUUUCUGCACCUUCAUGUUGAGGCCAGCGUUGAAGGCUGGGCAGCGUGUUCCUUGGGUCUUGGCGUUGUUCUCAGGCAAGUUCCAACAAGAACACAUUUUUGCUUUUUCGCUUUUUCAUUCUUUCUCUGAACUUGUCCCCGACAAGCGUGUGGAAAAGUUAUAAAAGUUAAUAGAUGCACUUCCAACUCACCAAUGUUCGUUUCACCGUGAUAUAAACCAGAUGUCUCGCUUCACGGCUGCUUUUCAUUAUGCGUUGGCAAAUGCAUCUCAUGCAUGUAUUGAGCUCCUGGAUGCUGGUGGCGUUGAAACCGCAGGAUUGCGUGAGUGAAGAUGUUCUUGAUGCAUCCUCACACUGUCACGUUCUCCUCCACACUCAGCAUCCAACAUGCAGCACGUGAACGUAAAUCGAAGUUUAAGCUCGAACACGUCCCCCGAAAUUUUAUAACUGAACAACUGCAUUGAGCAGCGCCCAGUUUAAACAGGUGGACAUCUCCAGUAAAUGCCCUGUCGUGCAUCCACUGCACGGCAAAGUCAGGUGUCGUGCGUUGUGCAACCAGAGGAACACAUGGUUGUGCUGCCGCUGCUGGUGCUGGUGUUUAAACAAAACCCUGGGUUAGCGUUCUGGUUGGGUAGGUUUAAAGAAAGUACAGUUCUUUAGUGGAGUUAUGUGAAACAACAACAGCGUGAGGUGACGGCCUCUGAGUGAAAGGACGGCACACAACAGGAUGCCUCUAGUUACAUUCAUCAGCCAAAGAUUGUGAGAUUUGUUGGCAUUCAAUUAUACACACACAGUGACACAUAUUGCACAACCUUGAAAUCAAUCAUUGCUUUCUCCAAGUAAUGAAGAAAUAACAAUCGAACGGAUGCGAUCAUUAUAAAUCCUCACCAACGAGGUUAUUUGUUUAAUUAGUCGCUGUCAGAAGUGAUGAAUGACAGGUAUCGUCAGGCUUCAGGCGAAGUGUGCAGUUGCUUAGAUGCAACUGUUUAGUGUAUCCAUACAAAUUCACAGCAAAAUUCAUCUCGGGGCAUUUUAAAAUUAUAGAGAAGGAUCCAAUAAACCCCCCUGAGCGGGCGCCAAGGGGCACAGCACAGGAAAAGCUAGUUUGAAUCUGUUGUGUUGCAUUUAACCAUUGCUUUGGCUCCAGCUCCCUGUGACCCUGCUGAGGAUAAACUGCCUGAUAAUGAGUGCAUGGGAAACUCAGCACUCAGGAACUAGUUCUUUGUUUAUGUUUGUCUGAUCCAGGUUUUAGGGUUAGUGCAUCUCAACCUACUGUUUUACAGGCACAUAACCUAACAUGAGCGUGGUCCGUGCAGCCCAGGCGUCUGCCUCCAUCAUCAGUUAACGCUUGGUGCCAGGUCUUAUUGGACGUACUGGUCUGUUGUGUGUUUCCAGUGGUUGACAACCAGCCGCUAACGCUCUGUAUUCCCAUGACGACGCAACAUUGACCGUCUCCUUCUGUUAAAGUUGCUUAAAGUGAUCAGAGGUCAUGUCUCACUGUGAAGUUCAUCAUGUCAGGCUCCCUUGAAGAACGGAGCUGUGCCUGUGGUCACACCCAAAGUCUCUCUCAGAGGUUUAUGGGGUUUUAACCUUCACCUGCAUUCAGAUCUCCUCAGACUUUAUUAUGGUCGAACUGCUGCUGCAUGCAAACUCAGUACCUGACUUCAACAACACAACCUUUCUGCUUCAUUUGUCUUACAGGCGCAAUAAAAAGCACAGUUAACAAUU